CUUGAGCGAAGGAUAACUAGUCCUUGAAGACGUUGAACCUACAGUGAAUUAUCCAUUUUUAUUUCACAGUUCCGUGAUUGAAGAUAUAUGCUCAAGGAUAAAAUUGUUUUCUUCAACCCUUGACACUUUCCACAAUGGAGUGGAGAGCUUUUGUUCUAAUAUGUACUUUUAUCUUAAUAGCUGAGCUGCAAACAACAAUUUCUACAACUGCCACGACGAUGGCAACAACGAAUUCUGAAACAACCACCACAAGUGCAGCAGAAACAUCAACAACAACAGAGACUUCCACAAUCACAACAACUGCUCCUGAAACAUCUACAACAA